GUCUUGAGAUAUCUUUAGCAGUCUGACGGGUCAGAUGUUCUUCCUACAAAACAAGCAUUGUUUUUCAUUGUCUUACUCCAAUAUGUUCCCAGAUUGCUUCGAGUGUUACCGUUAACUUCAGAAUUGAAUCGAACAGCCGGUGUAUUUGCUUAAACUGCUUGGGCAGGUGCUGCAUACUAUCUGCUAUUGUACAUGCUAGCCAGUCAUAUAUCACACAAGUAUAGUUUGAUUUACGUAAUCACCAAGUUUGGGUUGCUAUUCGUUUACGACUUGGAGACGGCUACUGCAGUUUACAGAAAUAGAAUUAGUCCACAAGUAUAAUUUUGAAGGCUUUGUGUUGGGUAGCUGUAGAAUAUUUUGUGCUAAAAGUAGUAACUUUUCAAUAUGUUGAAUAUUUAAGACUACUUGAAUACUUAAAGAACAUUUUGUUGUUGAUGACAGUGUUGAAUGUUUUAAACUAAUUUGUGGAUUGUUAAUACAAUGUUGAAUGUUUUUACUUUUUGUUAUUUGAAAAUCAAGUUCAUUUGA